ACACAUGCAAGUCGAGCGGUAACAGAUCCAGCUUGCUAGGAUGCUGACGAGCGGCGGACGGGUGAGUAAUGCAUAGGAAUCUGCCCGAUAGUGGGGGAUAACCUGGGGAAACCCAGGCUAAUACCGCAUACGUCCUACGGGAGAAAGGGGGCUCCGGCUCCCGCUAUGGGAUGAGCCUAUGUCGGAUUAGCUAGUUGGUGAGGUAACGGCUCACCAAGGCCACGAUCCGUAGCUGGUCUGAGAGGAUGAUCAGCCACAUCGGGACUGAGACACGGCCCGAACUCCUACGGGAGGCAGCAGUGGGGAAUAUUGGACAAUGGGGGAAACCCUGAUCCAGCCAUGCCGCGUGUGUGAAGAAGGCCCUCGGGUUGUAAAGCACUUUCAGCGAGGAAGAACGCCUAGCGGUUAAUACCCGCUAGGAAAGACAUCACUCGCAGAAGAAGCACCGGCUAACUCCGUGCCAGCAGCCGCGGUAAUACGGAGGGUGCAAGCGUUAAUCGGAAUUACUGGGCGUAAAGCGCGCGUAGGUGGCUUGAUAAGCCGGUUGUGAAAGCCCCGGGCUCAACCUGGGAACGGCAUCCGGAACUGUCAAGCUAGAGUGCAGGAGAGGAAGGUAGAAUUCCCGGUGUAGCGGUGAAAUGCGUAGAGAUCGGGAGGAAUACCAGUGGCGAAGGCGGCCUUCUGGACUGACACUGACACUGAGGUGCGAAAGCGUGGGUAGCAAACAGGAUUAGAUACCCUGGUAGUCCACGCCGUAAACGAUGUCGACCAGCCGUUGGGUGCCUAGCGCACUUUGUGGC
rnacentral:rRNA from 1 species